AUUAUUUAGAGAGUAAUGAGUGCUCAGGAAAAGGAUCACAAGCUGUUUACUGGGAGAUUCUACUUGUAGAAUGAUGGGCAUGGGUGUCCAAGCUUUUGGCUUGCCUGGGCCACACUGAGAGAAGAGGAAUUGUCUUUGUUGGGAAUUUGUUGCUUCAGAAGUAAUGCCUCCUAUUUAUUUCCAUGUGUUGAACAGACAUCCUUUAUGCUAAGCCUCAGCCUUCUUCCCAUAAGCACCAAAGUCUUCUGCUUCUCCAGAGCAGCAGCUGCCUCUGUACCAGCUGUGAGUCCUCCUCACAGCCCCAUGCAGCUCAGGUCCCUCCUACAGACUCCUCCUGUUGCCCCAGCACAGCAGCUCAGAGGAUGCCGGUCCCUGCCUUUGGCUUGGAACCAAAGUCCGAUUUGUGAUAUCAGUAGGGCAUGGUGAUGCCAUUGUAACAAUGUCUCAUGGUGACAUUGUGGUGUUGGGAGCUGGUGCCUACGGCCUGCGAGUUGCCCCGGUGUUGAAGGAGGAGGAAGGAUAGAGGUGUUGAGGGCUGCUCUCCUGGUGAAUGCUACCCCGUGCCAUUUUGCUUGCUGAAGAGAAUGGUUUCCCCUUGGGCACAGGCAGCCACAGGAGCUCCAGCCACCUUCUCACUCCAAGUAUGGGAUCCCUUUGAUGAGAAGGUGGCAAAUCUGUCCCAAGAGGGCUGGGGAUGGUCUCCACUAUUCUGACCCAGCUGUCUGCAAGUGGAGCCUCUUGGAGAUGUGGAGCUGCUGCUGUCACUGGGGAAGAAGUAGUUGCAAAGCCAUGUGAGGGGCUGAGCAGCAAUCAACCAGUUGGGCUGGGUGUGGUUGGCAGGCAGCUCUGCAGAUGCUGUAAGUAAAGAGGUGGGGAUUGAUCAUUUGUAGAACAUCAGAUCCCUGAGUGAUCGUAGCCAGCUUGUUCUGCUACUUGAAAUAAAUUGCUGUAGCUGGUGGGUAGUGUGUGCUGUGAUACCUCCAGAGAUGCUUCUGGGUACAUCUAUAUCUCAUGUAGCUCAAAUAUCCUUCUGUCAUAGUUCAUAUAAAAACCACACUCCUAGAUGAGAUGAUUUAUGCACACUCCUCUGGAAGCUGCAUACAACCUACUUUGUUUCUCUAUCAGUAUUUAUUUAUAAUAAUGGGUUUUUAAAAGUCUUCUAAGCCAUAAUACAGUUGAAU
ensembl:lncRNA